GAUGAACGCUCGCGGCAGGCCUAAUACAUGCAAGUCGAACGGGUGGUCGCAAGACCACUAGUGGCGCACGGGUGCGUAACGCGUAACCAACCUGCCCCGAUCUGGGGGAUAGCCCGCCGAAAGGCGGAUUAAUACCGCAUAUACCCGCAGCCUGGCAUCAGGCAACGGGGAAAGAUUUAUUGGAUCGGGAUGGGGUUGCGUGACAUUAGCUAGUUGGCGGGGUAAGGGCCCACCAAGGCGACGAUGUCUAGGGGACCUAAGAGGGUGAUCCCCCACACUGGCACUGAGAUACGGGCCAGACUCCUACGGGAGGCAGCAGUAGGGAAUAUUGGGCAAUGGGCGAGAGCCUGACCCAGCCAUGCCGCGUGCCGGAUGAAGGCCUUCUGGGUUGUAAACGGCUUUUCUCAGGGAAGAAAAAGACCUUGCGAGGUACACUGACGGUACCUGAGGAAUAAGCACCGGCUAACUCCGUG
rnacentral:rRNA from 1 species